rnacentral:rRNA from 1 species
UGGCGGCGUGGAUAAGACAUGCAAGUCGAACGAGAGAAUUGCUAGCUUGCUAAUAAUUCUCUAGUGGCGCACGGGUGAGUAACACGUGAGUAACCUGCCCCCGAGAGCGGGAUAGCCCUGGGAAACUGGGAUUAAUACCGCAUAGUAUCGAAAGAUUAAAGCAGCAAUGCGCUUGGGGAUGGGCUCGCGGCCUAUUAGUUAGUUGGUGAGGUAACGGCUCACCAAGGCGAUGACGGGUAGCCGGUCUGAGAGGAUGUCCGGCCACACUGGAACUGAGACACGGUCCAGACACCUACGGGUGGCAGCAGUCGAGGAUCAUUCACAAUGGGGGAAACCCUGAUGGUGCGACGCCGCGUGGGGGAAUGAAGGUCUUCGGAUUGUAAACCCCUGUCAUGUGGGAGCAAAUUAAAAAGAUAGUACCACAAGAGGAAGAGACGGCUAACUCUGUGCCAGCAGCCGCGGUAAUACAGAGGUCUCAAGCGUUGUUCGGAAUCACUGGGCGUAAAGCGUGCGUAGGCUGUUUCGUAAGUCGUGUGUGAAAGGCGCGGGCUCAACCCGCGGACGGCACAUGAUACUGCGAGACUAGAGUAAUGGAGGGGGAACCGGAAUUCACGGUGUAGCA